GACGAACGCUGGCGGCGUGCCUAAUACAUGCGAGUUGAGCGCUGAAGGUUGGUACUUGUACCAACUGGAUGAGCAGCGAACGGGUGAGUAACGCGUGGGGAAUCUGCCUUUGAGCGGGGGACAACAUUUGGAAACGAAUGCUAAUACCGCAUAAAAACUUUAAACACAAGUUUUAAGUUUGAAAGAUGCAAUUGCAUCACUCAAAGAUGAUCCCGCGUUGUAUUAGCUAGUUGGUGAGGUAAAGGCUCACCAAGGCGAUGAUACAUAGCCGACCUGAGAGGGUGAUCGGCCACAGUGGGACUGAGACACGGCCCAAACUCCUACGGGAGGCAGCAGUAGGGAAUCUUCGGCAAUGGACGAAAGUCUGACCGAGAAACGCCGCGUGAGUGAAGAAGGUUUUCGGAUCGUAAAACUCUGUUGGUAGAGAAGAACGUUGGUGAGAGUGGAAAGCUCAUCAAGUGACGGUAACUACCCAGAAAGGGACGGCUAACUACGUG
rnacentral:rRNA from 1 species